ACAUGCCUAAAUCAUAGUGUUAAUGCAUCAGAUCCUAGUAGAAUUCCAUAGUUAAGUGCACUUGGGCUAGUGUAGUAUUGGGAUGGGUGACCACCUGGGAUGUCCUAGUGUUUUACAUGCC
rfam:Picea glauca, whole genome shotgun sequence.